GGAUUUAAAAAAAAAACAAAGAUACUUUGUCUUCUGAAGGAAACGAGAAACCGAAAACGAAAGAAAACAAAAGCAGAGAAAGAAAGAAGGAAAAGAGAAAAGGGGGAGGAAGAAGUGGGUGCACUACGUUGAAGCCAUAGCUAUAACUGUUGAGGAAUUCUAAGCACUAAUUGUCUUUUACGGGUAUUAUUUGAACUUCUUCUUCUGAUAAAUUUUAAUUUCGAUUCUCUUGAUUGGAAGAUUCUAUAGAGUAAUAGAAAUUACACUAGUUCAUUCACACAAUUGAGAAUUUUCUUCCUAAAGAAUCAAUAGAACUUUAUGAAAUUUGGAGUAAUAAAUUUUAUGAAUAGGUUGGAGUUGAUAAAUUAGUAAUUACUCAUAUGGGGUAAAAUAUAAAUCCACAAAUUAAGACUCAAGCAUGAACCCCGAUGAUUAGGUAUUCUAAAAUAGCUAUGAAUUUGCCUAAAUAAGGAAAUUAACAUGAGAUCGAUAUUAUGUAAUUAUAGAUUGAUUGGAGGAAUUUGUACGAGUUGCUUGAGGUGAAACAGUUGGUAUUUUGGCACGAGUACUGUGAGUAGUAAUUUUACCGCAAUUUGUAUUUUCAUAACUUGCAUGAUUUAUACAUGAUUUUUAAGAUGAAUAUGUUACCGAUUAUUUUGAGUUACAUGUGGGACAAGUCUUUUACUCGAUAUGAUACCGAAAUAGUUAUUUGAGAUGGUUACCGUGGUUUUAAAUAUUUUCGUUGUCACUAGAUCUGUUUUACUGUUACUUGAAUUUAAUGUUAUCGAAAUGAAAUUAUAUGAUUUGAUAAGAAUUGAAAUGCCCUAUAUAGAUUUAAAAGAUUUUCUAUGAGUAUAUAUGGAUUACAGAGACAAGUAUAAAUGGGAGUAGAUAUUGAAGGAUCUCGUAGCUAACAGCGGAUUCGUUAGACCUGGUGCAUCUUGUAAUUACAGAUUACCGUUAUAGCUCUCACUAGUGGGAAGGUAGAACUAGCAUACCGUUACCGAUUUUCCUCGAGUAGGGGCUACCGUUAUAUUUGACUUCUUGCGAAAAAUUUCACAAUUAUACCGAUUACAUGAUCCGUUCAUUGAAACCUCCAAAAUAUGAAUAUUGAUAUUAUACAGUGGUUACCGAGCUUAUUACUGAAUUAUUAAUUGUAUUAUACUACAAGAAAAACAUGAUGAGGCUGAAAAUUAUUUAUUAUUUCUGAAAGGGCAUUUUUAUGUUAUUUUCUAUUGAGAUACUAGCAUGUUUCUGACUUGUCCCCAAUAAAAACGGUUGUGGUUAAGUGUUAUUACUCAUUGAGCUAGCGACUCAUUCCCCGCUAAUUAUUUUUUUUCAGAGACAGCAGUUGACGCGGGCGAGGAUUUCGUUAAUUAGAGCGCACAGGUUGAGAGUUCUUGGUGAGCCUCGCACUUGUUCGCGUGGGCGGAAACUUUAUCAAUUGUUAUGGUCUUUUCUUUGAACUCUUAGAGCCGCUCCAUAGUCAUUAUUUU
rnacentral:lncRNA from 1 species